rnacentral:misc_RNA from 1 species
GAAAUGCGAUAAUUAAUGUGAAUUGCAGAAUUCAGUGAAUCAUCGAGUCUUUGAACGCACAUUGCGCCCCCUGGUAUUCCGGGGGGCAUGCCUGUCCGAGCGUCAUUGCUGCCCUCAAGCACGGCUUGUGUGUCGGGCUUCCGUCCCUGGCAACGGGGACGGGCCCAAAAGGCAGUGGCGGCACCAUGUCUGGUCCUCGAGCGUAUGGGGCUUUGUCACCCGCUCCCGUAGGUCCAGCUGGCAGCUAGCCUCGCAACCAAUCUUUUUAACCAGGUUGACCUCGGAUCAGGUAGGGAUACCCGCUGAACUUAAGC